rnacentral:misc_RNA from 1 species
CUCCAUGCAAGAGCAGCUCUCUCACAUUUGCAAUAAGCCUGUAUCAGUACUUUGAACAUAUAAGCAUCUGGCUCCACACCACUCUGCCUAACCAUCGUAAAUAAUUUCUGCACAGUUUUAAUAUCNNNNNNNNNNNNUCAACCCAGAAAAUGUCUGGAUAUCUGGGCAUAUAUCAUUUAAAAUCAUCUCUUCAAGCACAUCAACGGCAUCAGAAUUUCUAUUGCACUUGGUCAAUGUUCGCAGCAGAGAUGAAUACAAAAGCAUCAGAUUAAAUUUUGCUAUGGAACCACAGAUUGGUCUGUCAUCAUGGAAGACCUUCAAUGCAGCAUCAGCAUUCUUUGAAACACCAUAGAAGUCGAUGAUCAAUCUGAUGGUGCUAAAAGGUAAUCUCAUUCCCUCGCAUCUUAUUUUGUUUAUCAAUUUAUCAACUAAUUCAACCUUCCCAUGACGUGCCAAAAUUGUAAUCAUCCUUUGAACUGUAUAAACAUCAUGAGUGAAUCCUGGCUGAUAAGCAACCCAACAGAAAAAAUCCCAAGCUGUUUCAGGCGAUCUAAAGUUCCUAAGAACCUUGCAAACCAACCGAGUCGUCCACACAAAUUUUGCACCCUCCAAUGUGGACACCACCUCAGGGCUCCAUUGAUUCAAAGCAUUUGCCAAAGCUUUUGGGUCCAACCAUGGUUUUAACCUAACUUCAUUAGCAUCAGUGUGAACAUAUCCAUGGCUAACAUCCUCAUCAUCAUCCUCAUCACUACCAUCUGUACAAGAUCCUAUACUCUUUAUUCUCUCAUCAGGAAACAUUUCUCUAAGAAACUCCUCCGUCUCCAGGGAAAAUCCUGCCUCAUACAUAUGCUGCAAAGCUGUACGCAUGGCGCCACCAGGAAAUUUCCCAUCAAUCCGCAUUCAAAGUUUUGACCAUGUCAAACCUCUGGGCACCCACAAAUCCUUUCACCAAAACUGAAUACUGCUUCGAAGUCCUUUUGAUUCUCAUCAACGGCAAUUUACCAAAAAUCUCAAUUGCCGCAUCCAAUUGCCCUGAACUAAUAAGAUGCUCAAUCAUAACCGUGUAAGUUCUAGAAUUCGGAAUUGCCCCUUCAUCAAUCAUCCUGUAAAAAAUCUCUACAGAUUCCAAAUCCUUGCCAAUUUGAGCGUACAGACUCAUAACAAUGUUGUAACACUCAGUACACACACGGUUAACACUGCGUCUAUACUCCUCCCAGGUAUCUAAAACUGCCUCUGCAUCUCCAGUGGCAGCAUACCACUGCAUAAGGUCCAUAAAGCUAACGCGAGCAUUAUGAUAUCUGCCUGCCUUAAUCUCGCUAAUCAGGUACCUCAGCUCCAAAGUCCUGCCGGACCUGG